CCUUAAAGGGAUGGGGCCAGGCUCCGCCCCACGUGAGCCACGUUCCGCUUCCGUGCAGCGCGCGCGGGCUGGCGGGUGGGGCACGAGCCCCCGCCCCGGCCGCUGCUCGGGGCUGCUCCCAGCCUGGCGCGGUGCCGCGCCCCGGACGGCGCGCACGUGGCUGCCGCUGGGCGAGCCGCUCUCGGAGAGAGCCGCGCUCCCGCCCUGGCCCCGUUUUCUCUCGCCGCGGGUCUCCAUCGUGGGUCACGGAUCCCGCGUGAGACUGGACGGUUCGGUUCCCUCCCUCCGCAGCUUCUGGCAUCAGCUGCCAGGAGACUGGGCUAGAGGGAGGUUCGGUCUGACCCAGUCUCGCUCUUAUGCCUAAUAAGGAAUCUAUAGGCCAAAAAACAUUUCCUGGAUCCUUUUUUGUUCUCUGUGUUGUUACAGACCUACUGGUGGACAGGAUGGAACCCAGUUUCUACUCACCUGUGGUGACUGCCUGCUGCAGAACAGCCAGAACCAUUUCUUCAUAAAUAUUUUCAACAUUGAUGAUGCCACUGAAGUCAGCAAACACGUAAUUUUCAUACUUGGGCAGCUCCUACCAAAGGAGGUAGAAGAGAGGGAAAUCAGCCAGCAUCAGUUACCUCACACACACACACACAGAUAGGCAGGGCCAACCUUGGAUUACACAGCACCUGAAGAGAGCCAAAAUAUGGUGUUCUGCCCCCACCUCGGAAUAAAUAGUCACCUGAAAUUCCAAUGGCAUCCUGUAGUUUCUGGCACCUGAACUGCCUGUCCAACCUUUAAUGCUGGUCCUGCACAAUGUUUUAUGUGUAUUUACAGGUUCAGAAGGAAAGUGGAGCCUCAUGGUUAAACAGCCAGAAUGGAAAGUGUUCAAUGGAAUUAGUUCAAACUCCCCAGAAGUCUGGGGGAAAGUUAACCAAGUUUAGGAUCAAGCUUCCCAGAAUCCUGAUCACUAGAGACAAAGUUUAAAUCUCUUCAGGACACAGUGCCCUGUACCACCAAUAGCCCACUGACAUGCACCAGGACUAUCUUCAAGCGGAGUCAAACUUAACCAUUGUCCUAGUACAAGGUACUGAGUUAGGCUGGUAGCAGUGCAGAAAAAUGAUAAAACGAAAUGGAAAAUUUUGGGGAAAGAUUUACAUGGUAGUAAGAGUCAUGAUGUGAAAUAGAAGUAGAUUCAUGGCCCUCUGGAGGGAGUUUAUUGGUUGCCUGGUGAGAGUGGCCUGCAUUUCGGUGGCACUGAAGAACCUGUAAUAUUGCUUAAAGCCUCUCCUCUCUUUGGAGUCACAGUCCAGCCCUGCCACUCUGGAACGCUAUAAUGAAAGGUCAGACUAAAUGAUCUAAUGAUCCCUUCUGGUCUUAAAUUCUAUGAAAGUCACUGAGGGGAAGGGGAUCUCCUAUCAGCCCACUGAAGUUCACUGAGCUAGCAAAGCUUUUCUGAAGAAUAAAAUGGAAUAGUUUGAUAAGAUAAAAUCAGCUUGUAUGAGCUUCAUCAGUUCACAUAUGGGGUUUGGGUCCCUUCACCUUCAUUCAGAAUCAGGCCUCACCAGUUUACAUCUGGGCUCCAGAUUCUUCAGCAGAAAGGGAAGAAAGAUCUGAACCAGCCACUCUUGUGCAAACUGCUUCCUGGUGGAACUGCUGUCAUAGUCAAAUUUCUGAAAACCAACCACAACCAAAUUGAAAAAGGAAUCAGCGCAACAGUCAGGAAACUUCCCCACAACAACUUCUGCAUCUGUCCACCUAGAACAGCUCAGGACUGGAGCAUGUGAGGAACACAGUGUCCAAGGCAGCACACAGAGCAGAAAAGCCAACAAGUGCAGGGAGAAUAUGAUCCAAAGAAAUAGGACUUUACACAAAGAGAAGGUAAGAAUAUCGCACACCUUACCUUCAGCACACGAGUUUUGAUCUUUUCCAGAGUCUGGGUGAUUUGGCUGUGGUUGGUUGCCAAGCUCAGAUGUUGCUCUGAAAGCUGGUGGAAUGUAUGGACCGAAUUCUGCAUUAGCUACAAAAGAAAAAAAUUGUCAGAUGAGUACGGGAGCCAGCACAUUCAGAGACCACAGUCAGGACUCAGUUCCACAUCUUCAGCAACCACCCUCUGGAUAAUGCAGCCUGCUUUCUCUCUAAGAUUGGUUAAAUAAUCUCUUCAUACCCUGCUGAUGCCCAAGGGAAAAAGCAGACCCCACACAAAUUAAAGGUGUCCCCAGUAUACUGCAUCAGGAAUCCCUCAUGCAGAAGAGCAUCAGGUGGCUUCUGGAGCUGAGAAUGGAUAAGAGAGGACAGGAAACAAGUCCCAGUGAAAGUGCAGAUGCAACUGUAAACUCUUUGGGACAGAUACCAUGUCAUCUGUCUCUCUGCAGUGCUUAGCACAAGGGGACCCUGACUGGGGCCUUUGGCUGCUACCACAAUAUAAAUAAUGGGACAACUGAACGAUGACAUCUAGCAGACACUGAAAGCAAAUAAAACACCUACAUUAACACACACACACACACACACACGCGCGCCCUGUAAUUACAGUCAUAGUAGCUCUGAAGGGGACUUACAAGGUCUUUCAGUCUAACCAGAGGAGAGGUCACAGUUUAUCGGCUCCAUCUGUGUAUAUAAAAUUAUAAAACUGUAUGUAGUGUGGAAUUGCAGUGUUAUAGCCACGUUCAUCCCAGGAUUAUUAGAGAGACAUGCAGAGGUGUUAACAGCCCACUUCACCAUGAAUGGUCUCUUGCAGCAUGUGUUAACUCCUUAUGCUUAACAAUCUGUUCCACCUUGUAUUUAUCUGUAAUGCUCCGAGUACCUUUCCCAGACCUGAAGAAGAGCUCUGUGUAAGCUUGGAAACUUCUCUCUUUCACCAGCAGAAGUAGGUCCAGUAAAAUAUAUUACCUCACCCACCUUGUUUCUUUAGUAUGGAAUGAAAGAUAGCAAGUAACACAGAGUGGCAAUUUUUAAACCUUCCUAGUGGCAGCAGGGCAGCAGUGAGGAUUAGAAUUUGGGAGUUGCCACCUCCUAUUCCAAUGCUCGGGCCACCAGGGCGUGUAUCCUCAUGCUUGAUUCAUUCAGCAACACACACAAUUAUGUGUCAGAGAUUAAUAGCCCUAAAGAAUCUCAAGAUGCUAGAGCGAAUGAGGGAGGAAGACAAAGUUGUCUUCAGAUCAGGGAGAAGACAACAGCUCAGGGGUGUGUGGGAAAAAGAAAUCUCCCAGAACACUAGUAACAGCCAUUCAUUGUCCUCUCUCCAAGCUCACAGCUCCUACAGGAGUCAGUGGGGAUCAGUGAGGGAGGGAAAAAGAGGGGGUGGUGUGCAGGAAGAGAAGGCCUUUUGAAUUAUCUGAAACUUUAGUCAGUCCCUCAAAAGUGAACUAAGCCAUCCCACCACCGGCCUCCGACAUGCAGAAAUUGCCCCUACACACACGCAGAUCAACCAUUGUAAUCUGCAUUUUAAAAUAUGUCCCAAAAGACCUAUUUCCAGGGCAUGAGAAGCCAAAGAAGCCCCUAUUGUUAGGUCAGUGAUCCAAUAAGCUAUUACCAACAGGAGAGUGGGGUUUUGGGAAGGAGGGGGGUCAGAAAACCUGGAUUUGUGCUGGAAAUGGCCCACCUUGAUUAUUAUAUACAUUGUAAGGAGAGGGAUCACUUUA